CUACACGGGUAUCUAAUCCUGUUUGCUCCCCACGCUUUCGCACCUCAGCGUCAAUGCCGGUCCAGUGAGCCGCCUUCGCCACUGGUGUUCUUCCGAAUAUCUACGAAUUUCACCUCUACACUCGGAAUUCCACUCACCUCUCCCGGAUUCAAGCCUUGCAGUAUCAAAGGCAAUUCUGGGGUUGAGCCCCAGGCUUUCACCUCUAACUUACAAAGCCGCCUACGUGCGCUUUACGCCCAGUAAUUCCGAACAACGCUAGCCCCCUCCGUAUUACCGCGGCUGCUGGCAC
rnacentral:rRNA from 1 species